UGCCCCACGAAGCAGGAACACAUUUCCUCUCCUCACCAGUCUAAAGCGAGUACUGUGUCUACCCUCUCCACAGACCCCUCAUCCACACCUUUCCCAGGUGGAGGGGAAUGAUGGCUACGAGAUGGGCCAGAGGGCUGGACAUAUUUGACAUCAAACCAAACUGUGCAGCGAUUACCCCCUCAUUCUCCCCCUUUCCCGCAGUCCUUCCUUCCCCCAUGCGCCCCUUCCUUUCUCCAUCCCGCUACUCUCUCUCAAACACAGAGUUAC